rnacentral:SRP_RNA from 1 species
GCCGGGUGUAGUUGCACGCAUCUGUAAUCCCAGCUACUCGGAGGCUGAGGCAGGAGAAUUGCUUGAACCUGGGAGGCAGAGGGUGCAGUGAGCCAAGAUUGUGCCACUGCACUCCAGCCUGGGUGACAGAGCAAGACUCUGCCUCAC